rnacentral:rRNA from 1 species
UACGGGGGGGGCAAGCGUUGUUCGGAAUUACUGGGCGUAAAGGGCUCGUAGGUGGCCAACUAAGUCAGACGUGAAAUCCCUCGGCUUAACCGGGGAACUGCGUCUGAUACUGGAUGGCUUGAGUUCGGGAGAGGGAUGCGGAAUUCCAGGUGUAGCGGUGAAAUGCGUAGAUAUCUGGAGGAACACCGGUGGCGAAGGCGGCAUCCUGGACCGACACUGACACUGAGGAGCGAAAGCCAGGGGAGCACACGGG